AAUUAUUAUUAAAAAAAAUUUAUAAUUCAAAAUAUAAUUCUAUUAUCACUAAAUUUUAAUAAUAGAAAUUUCAUUUAUUCCUAAUUUAAGUCCAUUAUUAGAAGGGAAAUCUCGAAUGAGGAAUAGCUAGUAAUUCACCAAUUACUAAACAAAAUGCAUCUUUUCUUGGUCCCGCAUCGCGAGUGCUGCAUUCAAGAACUCAUCCAUGGCUCUCACAGAGGACCCCUUCAAAUCUUUCUCGCAUUUCACUGCAUCCUUAAUCAUGUCUUUCGCUCCACAAGCCUUCUUUCUCAUUUCCACCCCUUUUUCUGUCCCAUUCAUCACCAACUCUAUCUUUUUCACUAUAUCUUCAUGGCUAACUUGGCAGAUCUUUCCUCUAGCCACCUCCACACAUACUCCUAUCUUUUCUUCCAAAAGCUUAACAUUGUAGAAUUGUUCUGCUGCCAUUGGCCACCCAAUUAAUGGCACACCAUAGCUUAGAGAUUCGAGCACUGAAUUCCACCCACAAUGACUCAGAAAUGCUGACACAGACUUGUGAGACAAAAUUUCCAGCUGUGGUGCCCAUUUAUGCACCAGUAACCCUCUUUUUGAAUCUUUGAUUCUUUCUUCAAAUCCUUCAGGGAGCCAAUCUUUUGCUCUAAAUUCCAAAUUGAUGUCAAAUCCAAUAGGUGGCCUGACAACCCAGAUAAAGUUUUUGCCGCUAGCCUCCAAUGCCAUGGCUAGCUCCAUCAUUUGUGAUGCAGAUAUAGUGUUCUGUGAACCAAAUGAUAUAUAUAGAACUGAAUUCACAGGUUUUGUGUUGAGCCAGUUUUUGCAGAGUUCAGAAGUAAUUCCAAUUUGAUCUUGGCUUCUCUUGGACAGGAGCACUGGCCCAAUUGGCCAAAUUGGGCGGCAAAUUUCGCGCCUAAAAUACAUCAAUCCAAGUUUGUCAAGUUCCUCCACUGUAUUAAGCAAAAUCCCAUCAGCAUUGGACCAUUCUGGAAGCACCAGCUGCAGAAAAACCGAGAACGGAUCGCUACCAUUGGCUUCUCUUAAAUGAUCUGCUAACUGUGUGACAUGAAUUGCACCAACUUCUGGAAAAUCUGGUAAAGUAAAUUCAUCAGAAUUUAUAUCCCGGUGGGGUAGGUUUAACCACAGAGAGUAGUAACAAGCAAAGCCAAAACCACCACCCCCAAAAAAUAUAGCAUGAAAGACUCCAAACUGAUGGGCAAUCUCUGCACACCAGCCAAAGAAUAUGCCUGUGAUGAUACAAAGUGGUGGGUGGCCAUUUUGUUCCUUCACAAGAUCAGCAAUGAGCUUCUUGAAUGAUGGUUUGAGAGCGAGAGAAGCAUGAAAAAGGUUGGGUACGAGAUGGUAAGGAAUAGAAUCGGUGUUCUCAGUAUGAGGAGGCAGGCCAUAGUCGGAGCUGUUAAAAGGGAUUUCGACAAGGCGAAUGGAGGAGUCAGCAGGGAGUGACGAUCUGAGUUUCUUGAUGUUUAGGGAGGUGUUAACAAAAGUGAUGGUGUAAUUCUUGGUUUGUUCUAAUUGAAGGGCUAAUGCUAGGAAAGGAAUGAUAUGGCCUUGUGCCAUGAAAGGGAACAUUACUAUGUUUUCUUUUGCCUGUGACAUUAUUUCUUUUGGAAGGAGAUGAUGAAGUUAAUUGUUGGAACCCAUUUUGUUUUGAGUUCUCCGUCCUGUAUUUAUCCAAUUAAUUUGAAAAUAAUACAUCAAAAAACAU
rnacentral:misc_RNA from 1 species